UUCCCGGUUGAACACCUGGCUCGUGCACAUGGUGGUUGCAUUUAGCCAAAACCGAUUACAGCACAACUCUUUACAUCCAGGGUGAUAGUUAAUAAGAUUUAUUUCUCUGUUGUGAAACAGGAGCUAAAAGGUUUCGUAAGAGGACAUUGGUAAUUCUAUGCGUUCCGAAAUGUACAAUUUAUUCCUUAAUUAUCAUAAAAAGUACGUUGAAAGAUUGCAGUUCAAUACGGUGUUUUCAGAGGUUGAACGAGAAAAGGUGUAUAGGACCUUUUUUGAAUGGAUGUAUGUUGCUGACCCUCAUAGAUACGAGCAGUACCAUGAGGUUGAGAAAGCCUCCAGAGCCGAUAACUGAAAAUCGAUUCGAGGGAUGGGCACGCAAACUGUACUGAUCAUUAAAAUCUGCGAGAGAGAGUGAGCGAGAGAAAAUCAAAUACAAGCAGAGGAAGACAGACUAACAAACAGAGGCUAAGAAAAAA